CUGAUCUGGUAGUGGAAGGUAGUUAGUUAGAGGUGUUAGGAGAGUAAGUGCUCUUUGAAGAGCUCUGUCUUCAGGAGUUUAUUAAAGAUAGUGAGAGAUUAUCCUGAUCUGGUAGUGGAAGGUAGUUAGUUAGAGGUGUUAGGAGAGUAAGUGCUCUUUGAAGAGCUCUGUCUUCAGGAGUUUCUUAAAGAUAGUGAGAGAUU